rnacentral:rRNA from 1 species
GAGGAAUAUUGGUCAAUGGACGCAAGUCUGAACCAGCCAUGCCGCGUGCAGGAUGACGGCUCUAUGAGUUGUAAACUGCUUUUGUACGAGGGUAAACGCAGAUACGUGUAUCUGUCUGAAAGUAUCGUACGAAUAAGGAUCGGCUAACUCCGUGCCAGCAGCCGCGGUAAUACGGAGGAUUCAAGCGUUAUCCGGAUUUAUUGGGUUUAAAGGGUGCGUAGGCGGUUUGAUAAGUUAGAGGUGAAAUUUCGGGGCUCAACCCUGAACGUGCCUCUAAUACUGUUGAGCUAGAGAGUAGUUGCGGUAGGCGGAAUGUAUGGUGUAGCGGUGAAAUGCUUAGAGAUCAUACAGAACACCGAUUGCGAAGGCAGCUUACCAAACUAUAUCUGACGUUGAGGCACGAAAGCGUGGGGAGCAAACAGGAUUAGAUACCCUGGUAGUCCACGCAGUAAACGAUGAUAACUCGUUGUCGGCGAUACACAGUCGGUGACUAAGCGAAAGCGAUAAGUUAUCCACCUGGGGAGUACGUUCGCAAGAAUGAAACUCAAAGGAAUUGACGGGGGCCCGCACAAGCGGAGGAACAUGUGGUUUAAUUCGAUGAUACGCGAGGAACCUUACCCGGGCUUGAAAGUUAGCGACGAUUCUUGAAAGAGGAUUUCCCUUCGGGGCGCGAAACUAGGUGCUGCAUGGUUGUCGUCAGCUCGUGCCGUGAGGUGUCGGGUUAAGUCCCAUAACGAGCGCAACCCCUACCGUUAGUUGCCAUCAGGUGAAGCUGGGCACUCUGGCGGGACUGCCGGUGUAAGCCGAGAGGAAGGUGGGGAUGACGUCAAAUCAGCACGGCCCUUACGUCCGGGGCUACACACGUGUUACAAUGGUAGGUACAGAGGGCAGCUACCCAGCGAUGGGAUGCGAAUCUCGAAAGCCUAUCUCAGUUCGGAUUGGAGGCUGAAACCCGCCUCCAUGAAGUUGGAUUCGUUAGUAAUCGCGCAUCAGCCAUGGCGCGGUGAAUACGUUCCCG